GCAUAAUCAAAUUUUUUUUUCAGCCAUAAUCAAUGAACUGCAACAUAUGAUAUUUUCCCAGUAAUCUGAGUCUGAAGUCUUUUGCACUCCCUUCAAAGACUGAAACACAAAUUUCUUACCAAUGAUUCUUUGAAACCCGAUACUAUUUAUGUUAGACUGGGCCCAUACACAAGCACAAGACCAAAAAGACAGCCCAACUGGAUGAAGGACUUUAUAAUAGGAUAGACUCAUGUGUCCUUAGAAAAUGUCUGCCAUUUUAUUAUUAGUAUGUUUUUAUUAUUGAAAGGUUUUUGUAAGGCCCAUGGCCCUUUUUUACCCUUAUAGGGGACUAAGCAAUAGGAAAAAGAAGGCAGAGAAGUUUUUGGUAACCCUAGUUUUAGAUUAACAGUAGCGAAGCCUAACAAUUUGGUGCUUUCAUUGCUCCUACCAUGGCUCCCCAACCUCCAUCAACAGAUCUGACCGAGGCCUUAGCCAACAUCCAAACAAAUCUCACCAACAUCCAAAGCCAACUGGCCGAACACACUAGCAGACAAUCUACCUUAGAGGCUCAAAAUGACCACCUUCACUCUACAUUCACGUCCAUCCUGGAUCAGGUUGCUCUAUUGACUCCAACGGAGGCUAAAAUUCCACACAUGAACCAGCAAAGUAGCCCUCAUUCCAAUCACUCAAACCAGCAACCACCCAACACCCCUUCCAUACGACCACCCACACUNNNNNNNNNNNNNNNNNNNNNNNNNNNNNNNNNNNNNNNNNNNNNNNNNNNNNNNNNNNNNNNNNNNNNNNNNNNNNNNNNNNNNNNNNNNNNNNNNNNNACGGUACAAAUCCACUAGAUUGGCUUUUUCAAGCGGACCAAUAUUUCUCCUUCUAUCAAAUACCGUUGGACCAACGCAUUCCUAUGGUGGGGUUUCAUAUGCAGGGAGACGCUCUCUCAUGGUUUAAAUGGCUGCACAAUAACCACCUACUCACAGAUUGGCACUCCUUCACAAGGGCUUUGGAGCUUCGUUUUGGCCCCUCCACCUAUAUCAAUCAUCAAGUGGAGUUGUUCAAACUCCAGCAAACCACGUCGGUCACUGAAUACCAAGGCAGGUUUGAACGCUUAUGCAAUUGUGUGGUGGGUCUCACUCCUGAAACUAUACUUAAUUGUUUCAUUUUCUGGUCUGAAUGUUGAAAUCCGCAGAGAACUUACUAUAUUGAACCCAUAUUCUAUUGCCCAAGCCAUAGGUCUAGCUAAGCUUAUUGAAGACAAACUCAGAGAUUCUAAACCUAAACAUAUUCGAUUUCCAGCACCUACCUAUCACCACCCUAACCCCACUCCCUCAUUCGCUAAGAGAACCAGCACACCCCCAGCCCAUAUGCCCAUCAAACGUUUAUCCUCCUCACAAAUGCAAGAGAGACGAGCCCUAGGGUUAUGCUACAACUGUGAUGAAAAAUUCUUCCCUGGCCAUAAAUGCACUUCCUCUCGAUUUUUGCUCCUUUUAGAUGACCCAGAACUCCUAGCUGAACCCAACGAGGAGAUUUCCCCCACACAUGACCACGCCAACACUAUUCACUUCCACCUUUCACCUCAAGCCAUAUCUGGUACUAUUUCCCCAAAAACCCUCAAAUUCACAGGUCUAAUUCAUCACCUCCCUGUUACUGUCCUCAUUGACUCGGGAAGCUCCCACAACAUUCUUCAACCACGUAUUGCCUACCACUUAAACCUAGCCAUAUCCCCUAGCCCACCCCUCUCGGUAAUGGUUGGAAAUGGGGCGUUCAUUAAGUGCCAGGGUAUUUGUCCAUUGGUGGACAUAUCCCUCCAGAACUCUACCUUCACUAUUCCCUUUUACCUUCUUCCGAUUGAAGGUGCGGAUGUUGUUUUGGGCGUGGAAUGGUUGAGCACGUUAGNNNNNNNNNNNNNNNNNNNNNNNNNNNNNNNNNNNNNNNNNNNNNNNNNNNNNNNNNNNNNNNNNNNNNNNNNNNNNNNNNNNNNNNNNNNNNNNNNNNNNNNNNNNNNNNNNNNNNNNNNNNNNNNNNNNNNNNNNNNNNNNNNNNNNNNNNNNNNNNUAUCGGUGGACACCCAACACUGCCCCCAUACAACCUUAGCCACUACCAUUAAUAAUCCCACAUCCCCGUUAUCUCACCUACCCUCACCCAUCCAAUCCCUCCUUCAGGAAUACCAAGGUAUUUUUCAAAAACCAAGAGGGUUACCUCCACAGAGACCACAUGACCACCAUAUUCCCCUUUUACCUCAUACCCCACCAAUCAAAGUGAAACCAUACCGGUACCCACAUCACCACAAGGAAGUUAUUACAACACUGAUAUCAGAAAUGCUGCAAGAGGGCAUUAUUCAACCUAGUACAAGCCCAUUCUCCUCACCGGUGCUCUUAAUAAAAAAAAAAGAUGGAACAUGGCGUUUCUGUGUGGAUUACAGAGCCUUAAAUGCAACCACCAUUCAUGACCACUUCCCCAUUCCCACCAUUGAUGAACUGCUCGAUGAGUUAGGCUCAGCUACUGUUUUUACUAAAAUAGACCUACACUCAGGGUACCACCAAAUACUGCUUCUCCCAGAAGACACUCACAAAACAGCGUUUCGCACUAUAGAUGGCCACUAUGAAUUCUUAGUGAUGCCAUUUGGUUUAACUAACGCUCCUUCUACUUUUCAGGCAGCCAUGAAUGAUCUUCUCAGACCAUACCUCCGCCGGUUUGUCUUAGUUUUUUUUUAUGAUAUUUUGAUUUAUAGUCCAAGUUUGCAGGAUCAUAUUGCUCACCUACAAACUAUAUUGGAAGUGCUACACACUCAGCAAUUUUUUGCCAAGCUUUCAAAGUGCAGUUUCGCAACCGCGGAAGUUAGUUACUUGGGUCACAUUAUUUCUGCACAAGGAGUCCAACCAGACCCAGAGAAAGUCAAAGCCAUACACGACUGGCCGCAGCCACGAUCACUCACGGAAUUACGGGGGUUCCUCGGCCUCACCGGAUUUUACAGGAAAUUCAUAAAGCACUACGCCACUCUCGCCGCUCCUCUCACCGACUUAUUACAACACCACAAAUUUUCAUGGACUGAGCUCGCGCAGCAAGCAUUCGAAAAAUUAAAAUUACACAUGAAGACAAUGCCUACACUACACCUUCCAGAUUUUAAGCUGCCCUUUGUGGUCGAAACAGAUGCCUCUGCAGUGGCCAUAGGAGCCGUCCUCAGCCAAUCUGGGCAACCAUUAGCUUUUUUCAGCAAAAAGAUGAAUCCCAAGCUCCAAGCUUCCUCCGUAUAUGUCCGAGAGAUGUAUGCCAUAACAGAGUCAGUAAAAAAAUGGCGUCAAUACCUCAUAGGACAACAUUUCAGAAUCAUAACAAAUCAAAAGAGCCUAAACACCCUCCUCUCCCAAACCAUUCAGACCCCAGAACAACAGAAAUGGACUGCUAAAUUGCAGGGAUAUGAUUUUCAAAUUAUUUACCGACCUGGGAAGGAAAAUGCUGUGGCUGAUGCCCUUUCAAGGCAAGGUCAUGAUUCCUCUACCAUACUGCUUGCAGUGUCGUCACCAAUUCCGCAGCUUAUUCAAGAACUCCAAACUUUUUUUGCCACCACAGAAGGUCAGGGAGUGUUCCAGGCGUGCACAAGCAGUCAACAACAGCCAAGCUUGUUCUCCACUAGCCACGGUUUACUGUUUUUUCGCCAUCAGAUAUUCGUGCCAGCAUCAUCUGAUUUCCGCCAGCGCAUUAUGACAGAGUUCCAUGCUUCCCCUUAUGGCGGCCAUUCCAGCAUCAAACCAACUCUCAAGCGCAUAGCCGCUUCAUUCUAUUGGCCGAAAUGGACCAGAGACGUCCAUCGUUUUGUCCAACAAUGCUCCACAUGCCAAAAAAAUAAGUAUAUGCCAACCAAAACUCAGGGUUUACUGCAACCAUUACCAAUUCCCAAACAAGUAUGGGAGGACAUAUCAAUGGAUUUUAUUACUCACCUUCCAGUCUCAUCCGGACACUCGGUCAUUUGGAUAUUGUGCGACAGACUCACAAAAUAUGCGCAUUUCAUCGCUCUGCCCACACACUUCACGGCCCAGCAACUAGCGAAAUCUUUCUCAGUAGAAAUUUGUCGCCUCCACGGACUACCAAAAACCAUUGUCUCAGAUCGCGACCCCUUGUUUGUUAGCACUUUCUGGCAGCACCUGUUCAAAGCACAAGGAACAACGUUAAAAUUUAGCUCGUCAUACCAUCCCCAAACGAACGGUCAAACAGAGGUAUUGAACCGCGGCUUAGAGGCCUACCUGAGAUGUUUUGUGGGAAACCAACCAAACAAGUGGUACAAAUAUCUUCACUUGGCAGAACUUUGGCAUAAUACAACGUACCACUCGGCUAUUGGAACCUCCCCGUUCCAUGCGUUGUACGGUCGACAACCACCCACAGUAGUUGAUUUCUUAAGCGUCCCAAACGUUGGAACCUCCAUCCAAGAGACACUGUCGGCACACACCGUCAUCCUCCACGACCUUAAGGAGCACUUGCGUCGCACACGCCAGCGCAUGUGUGACCAAGCUAAUCGCCACCGCACAGAUCGUAGUUUCAAACCAGGAGAAUGGGUGUGGGUACGACUCCAACCCUACCGGCAACACUCAUUGGAACGGCGAACACACCAAAAGCUUGGCCCGCGUUUUUCAGGCCCAUACCAGAUACUACGCCGCAUCGGUGCCGUCGCAUAUGAGCUUCAACUGCCACCGUCGGCGCGGGUUCACCCGGUUUUUCACGUUUCGCUGCUCAGACCUUUCAAAGGACCUGUGGGAGAACACCAGGGUCUUUCUACCAAAUCCAAGAACUUGGCACUUCCAACACCACUUAACUCAUCUCCCAACCCAAAUCAGAACGCUCUGAACUCACCGUAUCAGGAACCCAAUGACAACACGCCAUGUGUUACACUCACAAAUCACACCGACUUAGCUGGCAUCGAGCCUCACGCUCACGCGCCCCACCAACAAGCCAUCUCCACGCCUCAUAAUCACCUCAACACGCGUUCUGAUAGAAUCAACAAUAGCGCGCCACGUGUCCCACUCACUGGUGACGCGGUUUUCCCACGCCUCGAGCCCCACACGCACCAACAAACCCUUCCCACGCCCAUUAAUGGGCUGAACGCGUUUCCUGACGGAGCCAACAAGAGUGUGCCGCGUGUCCCACUCACUGAUGGUGCAACUUCCCCACACCUCGAGCCGCGCGUCCCACUCACUGCUGGUGCAGCUUCCCCACACCUCGAGCCCAACGCUAGCACUCCACGCAAUACAAACCCUAAUUCUAAAGCACCUCAAACGGCGCCACCCCCUCAAAACCCUAAAACCCCAGCACCACUCCCUACAAACCCUAAUGACUCAACAACCAAUACCCAACCCAACUCACCCUUAAUGGCCCAUCCAAUUCCUGCACCCCCGCGCCAGAUUACAUACACCUCACCCCAUAUCCAAACCCACGAGAACCCACAACAGCCCAGUCACCGUCCAACGGCCCAACUAAUUCCAAGAUCCCACUUUGAGGACAAAGUGUCUAGUGGCGCGGAUAGUAAUGUUAGACUGGGCCCAUACACAAGCACAAGACCAAAAAGACAGCCCAACUGGAUGAAGGACUUUAUAAUAGGAUAGACUCAUGUGUCCUUAGAAAAUGUCUGCCAUUUUAUUAUUAGUAUGUUUUUAUUAUUGAAAGGUUUUUGUAAGGCCCAUGGCCCUUUUUUACCCUUAUAGGGGACUAAGCAAUAGGAAAAAGAAGGCAGAGAAGUUUUUGGUAACCCUAGUUUUAGAUUAACAGUAGCGAAGCCUAACAAUUUAUAUGCCAGGAGAGUAAACAAGCACUAACGUACACAUACGUUCAUUUUCAUUGCAAUACCAUCCUCGUUCAACUCUAAAUCUAUAAUCAUUUCCCAACAAGGGGGUGAGGACGAGAAAGAACUAAAACACAUGGACUUGUGAAGGUGCAUGUAUGAUGAGGGUAGAAAACAACUUUGAGCUAGUCAAUGUUUGCAAGGAAAAUUAUAGGAAAAUCGUUUUUGAAAAACUCUUAUUUCUUAAAAAGGCUAUUCUGGUUGGAAAAGCUAGGUUGAAAAAAAGGUUAGAGACGCUCCAGGGAAGUUAGGUGCAAAUGAUUUCAAUGAGCUAACUGAACAUACACUCUUCACGUGUCGUUUCAAUGGGAGGCAUCUAAAGUAGAGU
rnacentral:lncRNA from 1 species